AGAGUUUGAUCCUGGCUCAGGAUGAACGCUAGCGGCAGGCUUAAUACAUGCAAGUCGAGGGGCAGCAUGACUGUAGCAAUACAGUUGAUGGCGACCGGCAAACGGGUGCGGAACACGUACAGAACCUUCCUUCGAGCGGGGAAUAGCCCAGAGAAAUUUGGAUUAAUACCCCAUAGCAUAUUGAUAAGGCAUCUUAUUAAUAUUAAAGAUUUAUCACUUGAAGAUGGCUGUGCGGCUGAUUAGGUAGUUGGCGGGGUAACGGCCCACCAAGCCUGCGAUCAGUAACUGGUGUGAGAGCACGACCAGUCACACGGGCACUGAGACACGGGCCCGACUCCUACGGGAGGCAGCAGUAAGGAAUAUUGGUCAAUGGACGAAAGUCUGAACCAGCCAUGCCGCGUGGAGGAUGAAGGUCCUCUGGAUUGUAAACUUCUUUUAUCUGGGACGAAAAAAGGCUUUUCUAAGUCGUCUGACGGUACCAGAUGAAUAAGCACCGGCUAACUCCGUGCCAGCAGCCGCGGUAAUACGGAGGGUGCAAGCGUUAUCCGGAUUCACUGGGUUUAAAGGGUGCGUAGGUGGGUUGGUAAGUCAGUGGUGAAAUCCCCGAGCUUAACUUGGGAACUGCCAUUGAUACUAUCAGUCUUGAAUAUUGUGGAGGUCAGCGGAAUAUGUCAUGUAGCGGUGAAAUGCUUAGAGAUGACAUAGAACACCAAUUGCGAAGGCAGCUGGCUACGCAUAUAUUGACACUGAGGCACGAAAGCGUGGGGAUCAAACAGGAUUAGAUACCCUGGUAGUCCACGCCCUAAACUAUGGAUACUCGACAUA
rnacentral:rRNA from 1 species